UUAACUGAAACCAAAAAGAGGUAUAUUACUGUUAAUAAUAAAAUUGAAUAAUAUUUAAUUCCAGUUAAG
rnacentral:tRNA from 1 species